GUGGAUUGACUACGUUAAACUACAUAGAGCUUGCUUAAUUGUAUCAGAAGUGCAAGGAUGAAGAGUAUGAAAGUUCAUAGAGAGCUGUAGGAGUGUGCAAGUUGUACAGAUGCAGAUUUGGCAUUGGUUUGUAAUGAACGAGUACUGUUAUUGCUAUCAUAUAGCUCAGUUAAGACAGUGGUAUGGAAUAGAGGAAAUGAAGCUGGCUGGUGCUGAGAUUUGUACUCAGUUGGUGUUGGUUGCAGUUGCAGG